rnacentral:rRNA from 1 species
AAGAAAGUAAAUAAGGGUACACGGGGGAUGCCUUGGCUCUCAGAGGCGAUGAAAGACGUGAUAAGCUGCGAUAAGCAUCGGGGAUCUGCAAAUAAGAAUUGAUCCGAUGAUUUCUGAAUGGGGAAACCUAACUAUUUGAAGAAUAGUUGCAAAUGCGCAAACCUGCUGAACUGAAACAUCUAAGUAAGCAGAGGAAGAGAAAAUAAUAAUGAUUUCCUGAGUAGUGGCGAGCGAAAGGGAAAGAGCCCAAACCAGAUAUGUUACGGCAUAGCUGGGGUUGUAGGACCACGACAUUGGAUAUUAAAGUGAACCGGAACAGGAUGGGAAGCCUGGUCAUAGAGCAUGAGAACUGCGUACGGGUAAGCGAUAAUAGCAUAGUGGUAUCCUGAGUACCGCGAGGUCGGAGACGCCUUGUGGGAAUCUGCCGGCACCAUCCGGUAAGGCUAAAUACUACUGAGAGACCGAUAGUGAACCAGUACCGUGAGGGAAAGGUGAAAAGAACCCCGAACAGGGGAGUGAAAUAGAACCUGAAACCGUGUACUUACAAGCGGUCGGAGCAGACAAGAUCUGUGACGGCGUGCCUUUUGCAUAAUGAGCCUACGAGUUACUCCUCACUGGCAAGGUUAAGUGAUUAAGUCACGCAGCCGAAGCGAAAGCGAGUCUGAAUAGGGCGUGCAGUCAGUGGGGGUAGACGCGAAACCUUGUGAUCUACCCAUGGACAGGUUGAAGGUGCCGUAACAGGUACUGGAGGACCGAACCGAUAAACGUUGAAAAGUUUCCGGAUGAUCUGUGGGUAGGGGUGAAAGGCUAAUCAAACUGGGAAAUAGCUCGUACUCCCCGAAAUGUUUUUAGGAACAGCGUGGUGGUUAAGUUAAAUAGAGGUAGAGCUACUGAUUGGGUGCGGGGGAGUCAUAUCCUACCAAAUCCAGACAAACUCCGAAUGCUAUUUAAUAUACACUGCAGUGAGGCUAUGGGUGCUAAGGUCCAUGGCCGAG